rnacentral:rRNA from 1 species
UACGUAGGGUGCGAGCGUUAAUCGGAAUUACUGGGCGUAAAGCGUGCGCAGGCGGUUUUGUAAGCCAGAUGUGAAAUCCCCGGGCUUAACCUGGGAAUGGCAUUUGGGACUGCAAGGCUAGAGUGUGGCAGAGGAGACUGGAAUUCCUGGUGUAGCAGUGAAAUGCGUAGAUAUCAGGAGGAAGACCAGUGGCGAAGGCGGGUCUCUGGACAGUUCCUGACACUGAGGCACGAAGGCCAGGGGAGCAAACGGG